GGAAACGGGUGGUAAUGCUGGAUGCUCCAACUUGACGCAUGUCUUGUUGGGAAAGUGUUUAGUGGCAUGGGAUGGGGUCGCGUCCUAUCAGCUUGUAGGCGGGGUAAUGGCCCACCUAGGCUUCGACGGGUAGCCGGCCUGAGAGGGCGGACGGCCACAUUGGGACUGAGAUACGGCCCAGACUCCUACGGGGAGGCAGCAGUGGGGAAUAUUGCGCAAUGGGGGAAACCCUGACGCAGCGACGCCGCGUGCGGGAUGAAGGCCUUCGGGUUGUAAACCGCUUUUGAUUGGGAGCAAGCUUUCGGGUGAGUGUACCUUUCGAAUAAGCGCCGGCUAACUACGUGCCAGCAGCCGCGGUAAAU
rnacentral:rRNA from 1 species